UGAAAAAUAACCCGUCGAAACCGAAAACACUUCUUAAGACAAAAAUACUCUGAAGUCUGAACGAAAACACUCCCUUCUUCUCUCCACUGCAGAAACCCUAGUCAUUGUCGCAGUUCUCCGUCGUCGUUCGCCGUCGCUUGUCGCAGAGGUCAUCGUAGAGAGAUGGGAAUCUAUUAUAAUUUGAUCAUUGGAUGCUCUUCAGUCCAUUAUCAGUUGAUGUUCAUAUUUUUGUAAUUUAGAUAGUUUUUGUAAUAAAUGGCUUUUGUACAUUUUUUUUAUUAGUUCUAAGGAAGACUAAUUUAGAUAUUUUUGUAAUAGAUAGUCUUUUUUUUUUACAUAUGCUUCUUUUUAAUUCACAUCAUGCCUUUGCACCUUUACUUCUU